GGAUUGUGGCUCAGUGGUAGAGCACUUGCUUAGCAUGUGUGAGGCCUUGGGUUCAAGUCUUAGCACCA
rnacentral:tRNA from 1 species